UACGGAGGAUGCGAGCGUUAUCCGGAUUUGUUGGGUUUAAAGGGUGCGCAGGCGGCACGGCAAGCCGGCGGUCAAAUCGCGGGGCUCAACCCCGCCCAGCCGUCGGAACUGCCGGACUAGAGUGGGCGAGAAGUGCGCGGAAUGCGUGGUGUAGCGGUGAAAUGCAUAGAUAUCACGCAGAACUCCGAUUGCGAAGGCAGCGCACCGGCGCCCUACUGACGCUCAGGCACGAAAGCGUGGGUAUCGAACAGG
rnacentral:rRNA from 1 species